rnacentral:rRNA from 1 species
UAAUACAGAGGGUGCGAGCGUUAAUCGGAGUUACUGGGCGUAAAGGGCGCGUAGGCGGUCAUGCAAGUGAGAUGUGAAAUCCCUGGGCUUAACCUAGGAAUGGCAUUUUAGACUGUGUGACUGGAGUACAGUAGAGGGUGGCGGAAUUUCCGGUGUAGCGGUGAAAUGCGUAGAGAUCGGAAGGAACAUCAGUGGCGAAGGCGGCCACCUGGACUGUAACUGACGCUGAGGCGCGAGAGCGUGGGGAGCAAACAGGAUUAGAUACCCUGGUAGUCCACGCUGUAAACGAUGAGAACUAGAUGUUGGUCCGCGCGAGCGGAUGAGUAUCGAAGCUAACGCGAUAAGUUCUCCGCCUGGGGAGUACGGCCGCAAGGUUA